rnacentral:rRNA from 1 species
AUUGAACGCUGGCGGCAUGCCUUACACAUGCAAGUCGAACGGUAACAGGUUAAGCUGACGAGUGGCGAACGGGUGAGUAAUAUAUCGGAACGUGCCCAGUCGUGGGGGAUAACUGCUCGAAAGAGCAGCUAAUACCGCAUACGACCUGAGGGUGAAAGCGGGGGAUCGCAAGACCUCGCGCGAUUGGAGCGGCCGAUAUCAGAUUAGGUAGUUGGUGGGGUAAAGGCCUACCAAGCCUACGAUCUGUAGCUGGUCUGAGAGGACGACCAGCCACACUGGGACUUAGACACGGCCCAGACUCCUACGGGAGGCAGCAGUGGGGAAUUUUGGACAAUGGACGCAAGUCUGAUCCAGCCAUGCCGCGUGCGGGAAGAAGGCCUUCGGGUUGUAAACCGCUUUUGUCAGGGAAGAAAAGGUUCUGGUUAAUACCUGGGACCCAUGACGGUACCUGAAGAAUAAGCACCGGCUAACUACGUGCCAGCCGCCGCCGUAA